GUGCCAGCAGCCGCGGUAAUACGUAGGGUGCAAGCGUUAAUCGGAAUUACUGGGCGUAAAGCGUGCGCAGGCGGUGAUGUAAGACAGUCGUGAAAUCCCCGGGCUCAACCUGGGCAUUACGAUUGUGACUGCAUCGCUGGAGUGCGGCAGAGGGGGAUGGAAUUCCGCAUGUAGCAGUGAAAUGCGUAGAUAUGUGGAGGAACACCAAUGGCGAAGGCAGCCCCCUGGGAUAACACUGACGCUCAUGUACGAAAGCGUGGGUAGCAAACAGGAUUAGAUACCCUGGUAGUCCACGCCCUAA
rnacentral:rRNA from 1 species